UCAAAAAUCCAAAAAGAGGUGGCUGUAAACGCUAGUACACAACUGUUACAGUGUGUUAAUUCAUGUCCUACAUCGUCAGAUAUUGGUCUGCAGCAAAGUAAAUGUGUUUGUUUAAGUACAAUGUCAUUGGCAAACUCUGAUGUCACUGGUGCAGCUACCAGAAGUUUCUGUAAUGGUGACGAAAAUGCAUUCUGUGUUUCCGAUCAAGCUGGAGUAUAUCAAUACGCUUUGUAUUCAAGAAGUCCUGCUGCACGUUCUAUAAAUAAUGGGAUCGGAGACUGUCUGGUUAUGACAAUUAACAAAUUUUCAAUUCCUUCCGUUUAUUUCGAACCCGCUCCAUGUGGUACAUAUCUUAAUCCUCAUUGUUU